AUGUUAGCUCGCUCCCUUCUGCAGCAUAGCAUGAGACAUCGCACUCUAGCCUCCGUCCCGGCCCUGUGGGCCUCCAUCCCCUGUCCACGCUCUGAGCUGCGCCUGGACCUGGUUCUGGCUUCUGGACAGUCAUUCCGGUGGAGGGAGCAAAGCCCUGCGCACUGGAGUGGCGUGCUGGCCGACCAGGUAUGGACACUGACCCAGACUGAGGAGCAUCUUUACUGCACUGUGUACCGAGGGGAUAAGGGCCGGGUUGGCAGGCCCACACUGGAAGAGCUAAAGGCCGUGCGACAGUACUUCCAGCUGGAUGUCAGCCUUGUUCAGCUGUAUCACCAUUGGAGUUCCGUGGACCCCCACUUUCAAGAGGUGACUCAGAAAUUCCAAGGUGUGCGACUCCUGCAACAGGACCCCAUCGAGUGCCUCUUCUCCUUCAUCUGUUCCUCCAACAACAACAUUGCCCGCAUCACUGGCAUGGUGGAGCGGCUCUGCCAGACCUUCGGACCUCGGCUCCUCCAGCUUGAUGAUGUCGCCUACCAUGGAUUCCCCAGCUUGCAGGCCCUGACUGGGCCACAGGUGGAGGCUCAGCUCAGGAAGCUGGGCCUGGGGUAUCGUGCCCGCUACGUGAGUGCCAGUGCCCGAGCCAUCCUGGAAGAACGGGGUGGACUUCCCUGGCUGCAGCAGCUGCGCAAGGCCCCCUAUGAGGAGGCCCAUAAGGCCCUCUGCACCCUGCCUGGGGUAGGCACCAAGGUGGCCGACUGCAUCUGCUUGAUGGCCCUAGACAAGCCCCAGGCUGUGCCCGUGGACGUCCACGUGUGGCAGAUCGCUCAUUGUGACUACAGCUGGCACCCCACCACCGCCAAGGGUCCGAGCCCGCAGGCCAACAAGGAACUGGAGCGAUCUCCUCUACCUGGCAGGAAGCAUGGUGUGAGGCAGCCCCAGCUUUCCAACUGAACCCAGCAAAAGAGGAGCUACACCCAGUUUCAUGUAUCAGUCUCAGGGAAGGACUCCGAUGGGCUCUGCUGGAGUGACAUGCCUAUGCCUUUACCCCCAGAACUGUUGCCAGAGGAAUAAGGUGCUAUACAGGUAGCUGGGUUUAUGGCUGCCCAGAUACACCACACUUCCCAGCGUCCCUUGCAGUCAGGGGUGGUCAUCUGACGAACUCUCUCCAGUGGAAAGUGAUUAGAAGAGAUAAGAGCCACAGCUGGCCACGGCCUUCACACACUCCUCCUUGCUCUUUUUCUGUGGGCUUGGAGUGGCAAUCACACUUGGAGUGACCUUGUGCAGAGUGCAUGUUUAAGACAGCAAAGCCAGCAUACGUGGGGUCCCCGUCUGAUGGUGUGGAACGGAGAUGUCCCCCUACCCCCACCUCAGCCAACCUGGAACGUGUGCCCAGAAAGACGUGGGAGAGAAAGACGCUAUCGUGUUUGAGAUAGCCAGGAAACUGAGGCUCAAGAGGUGAAGAGAUAUGCCUAAGGGCAGCCAGCAGGCAUAAAGAAAGGGACCCUGAACCUGGGGUUUGAAUCCUGCUUCUAUGUAUUAGCUGUGUGACCUCAAGCAAACAGUUCCCUUUUUUGAGCCUCGACCUUGUUGGGUGUAACGUGGGGUUAACCACUGUCUUUGCCUCUAACGAGAGGAUGUGUAGAAAGCCCCCUUGCACGGGGCCUUUAGCCAACGCUCAGCAAAAGUAACUGUGGAGUAGUGGCUACCUUGGGGGGAGGUUAAAAACUGGGAGGGGCGUGAGAGAGUCUUCGAGAAUACUGAUGAUGUCUUCUUUUGUGGUCCUGGGCCUACCUGUACAAGUGUGCUCAUUUGUGAAAACUGAUCAAGCUGUACAUUUAUGAUCUAUGUACCCUUCUAAAUGUAUAAUG